CUCUCAGAACUAUGGACACUUCCUUCCUAUUUCAGCUUUCUCACAGCUUCUGAACCUAGCCCUGUCUUCAGAACUGUUGUCAACAGAAUGAUAGUGAAGGAUUAGCUGUGGGAUGAUGGUGGGGCUUGAUCUGAAACAGUGGCUUACGAGUGACGCACCCUACUGGAUGUGAGAAUGAUGGGAGACAAGAACACAAAUGAUGCUGGCCUGACAUCCCCCUGGCUUGUAAAAGAUGACACAUUCUUCUCUGGAUAAACCAGCUUCCAUGAAGCAAAGGCCCAAAGCAGUGCCCUCCUGUCUGCCUAUAAGCCACAUGAAGUGAAAGGCCAUGUCUUGAACGGAGAAGAACAAAUUUGGGCAUGUUGCAAAUGUGGCCUGGAGUUUGUACUGUGAGAUUAAAGGAUGUCUGGUUGAAAUAAAGACAGGCCAAAAAAAAAAAAACCAGACUGAAGGAAGGAAAUUACAGGCUAUAGGAGUCUUGGGCCUGGAGGCCCAAAUG